CGCCGACGCCCUUCCGACGCCGCGCACACCGCCUGCCGCACGCCGCCGUCAACCCUGCGCCGAGCGACCUCGCCUCACCGAGCACCCACACGCCGCCACCACACCGCCGUCAUGCACACCGGAGCCGCCCUCGCCGCCCGCCAAGAACCCUGGAGCAUCGUCGUCGGCGAGCCACUUCGUUCAAGGAGUCGGAGGAGGAUCGGACUGACGAGGAUCGGGAGUAUCGGGAGGAGUUAGGCGAUGACUACUCCGAAGGUUCUUAUGAUUCCGAGGGAUAUAGUGACUAGGGCAUUCAUGCCUUCGCUCAAGUCGAUGGAGUUUCUACCUUCCGCAUCUAUCGAGCUGUUCCGGUUGAUAAUUUCGAUUUUGUUUUUGCCAUGUGGCAAUGUAAUAAUGUAAUACUCUCUAUUCUUAAUGCUUUUGUACGAUGUAUGGAUGUUGAUUAUCAACUGGAAUUGGGUAAUUUGAUUUAUAUGGUCAUUUUA